ensembl:snRNA U6 U6 spliceosomal RNA
AUAUUUCAGCAGCAUGUGUACCCAGAGUGGAACAGUAUGGGAAGAUUAGCACGGCACCUGUGCAAAGAUGACAUGCAAAUUCUUGUAUGCUUCUCAUUUUAC